rfam:Oryza glaberrima chromosome 6 Oglab06_0056_5, whole genome shotgun sequence.
UAUAAGGGAUUUUGAGUUUUUGCUUGUAAUAUUUGACCAUUCGUCUUAUUCAAAAAAUUUUGAAAUUAUUAAUUAUUUUAUUUGUGACUUACUUUAUUAUCUACAGUAUUUUAAGCACAACUUUUUGUUUUUUAUAUUUGCAAAAAAAAUUUGAAUAAGACGAGUGGUCAAACGUUGCAAGCAAAAACUGAAAAUCCCUUAUA